AGAGCGAACGCUGGCGGCGUGCUUAACACAUGCAAGUCGAACGAGGUCUGUAGCAAUACAGAUACUCGUGGCGAACGGGUGCGUAACACGUGGGAAUCUGCCAAACAGUUUGGGCCAAAUCCUGAAUGAAUGAAAGCUAAAAAGCGCUGUUUGAUGAGCCCACGUAGUAUUAGGUAGUUGGUUAGGUAAAAGCUGACCAAGCCUACGAUGCUUAGCUGGUCUUUUCGGAUGAUCAGCCACACUGGGACUGAGACACGGCCCAGACUCCUACGGGAGGCAGCAGUGGGGAAUCUUGGACAAUGGGCGAAAGCCUGAUCCGGCAAUAUGGCGUGAGUGAAGAAGGGCAACGCAGCUUGUAAAGCUCUUCAUCGAGUGUGCGAUUGUGACAAGACUUGAAUAAGAACGCCCCGGCUAACGUCCGUGCCAGCAGCCGC
rnacentral:rRNA from 1 species